UACAGAGGGCUCAAGCGUUGUUCGGAUUUAUUGGGCGUAAAGGGUGCGUAGGCGGCGCGGUAAGUCGGGGGUGAAAUUUCGAGGCUUAACUUCGAAACUGCAUUCGAUACUGCCGUGCUUGAGGACUGGAGAGGAGACUGGAAUUUACGGUGUAGCGGUGAAAUGCGUAGAUAUCGUAAGGAAGACCAGUGGCGAAGGCGGGUCUCUGGACAGUUCCUGACGCUGAGGCACGAAGGCCAGGGGAGCAAACGGG
rnacentral:rRNA from 1 species